ensembl:snRNA U6 U6 spliceosomal RNA
GAAGUGUGAGCCAAAAUCAGCCUAAAAAAUUGGAUACAGAGAAGAUUAGCAUGGCCCCUGCGCAAGGAUGACACGCAAAUUUGUGAAGCAUUCCAUAUUUUU